AGUUUUUAUGUCUAUAUACUGCUUUGAGAGACACAUUUUCAUGGCCAUUAACUUUGGACUUAAACACAUGCAGAAAUCACACUGAAUGAUUAAAGUUCUAUUUAAAUAGUUGUGAAAUACAACCAACACUGCCAACACACUGAACAAAGGGGAAAAAGGGGGUUGUUCACUUUACAAAUAAACAGUUCGCAUACAUGACGUGAUUUAUGUUCCUUCUCUGAAAAUAUGUCAAUCAUGUAGAAUUAUUCUAAUCUUGAUGGAUGUUUCAUUUUUAAGUCUCAGUCAUGUUAAGAGCAAAAGAAAUUGUUAUGUUUUUGUCUGGAAACUCUUGGGAGCAGCUCUUUGAAUGAAAACUUCACCGAGGGCGCCAUUUUUUCGAUUUGGUCGGUUGAAUUCGUCAGUCUGGACAGCUCUUCACACAGUAAAGGUAUUUGGUGUUCCUCCAGUUGAGAUCUCCGCUUCGUACCUGUAGUAAUGGCAGAAGACAAAGACCUGAACCAAGGAGCCAUUGAGGAGACCAUGGGAAUACGUGAGAUGCCACUGAUGGACCAGAGGACAUUGGGAUUGUCCUGGAAGGCCAGGUGGUACUGCAUGAUCUGGACAACGUUGCCUUAGCUGCUGCCAUGUUGUUUGGACUAAUGUAUGCCUUGAACCUCAACUACCCUCCUGAACUUAAGUACUCUGUCAAAGUGCUCCAGAAGUUGUGACGGAGCUGGACGACAACACGCUGUCAAAGAAAGCCCAGGGACUCAAAAACAAACUAUAAGUGAGCUUUUGCCAUUUUAGGCAACCUGGAUACAACAGUACCCUUUCUUCUUGGAAUAUGGACCAUUGCUGACUGGACUUUUGACACUUAUGCAACUCACUUGCUCUGACUUUGUUUACUGCAAGUGUAGUGUAUUUGUUUCAGCAAAUUAUUUCUCUCAGGGCCAUGUGGGGCAAAAUGUAUCUCUUUCAUUUUAUGUCAGCUUUGUCAGAUGCGGGAGAGAUCCCAACAGCUUUCCCUAUUUUAAUAUGUAGGUGAGAUUUAGUUUUUUCGUAACUGAAAUAUAGAAGUGGUGGGAAAGCAACUACUCCUUAAUUCUAUUACUCUUUAAUUCUAGAACCCUUGCAAGGAGCACAAUAACUUUCCAAGCACUGGAUUUACAUUUACCAGAGUGUAAUGAUUUCAUUACAUUCAUCUUUUUUGUUGUUAAGAGGUUGUAAUUGUAGUGGAUGUAUUUUGCACUUUUUUGCAUAAUUUUGCAAGACAUUUCAGAAUUAAUCUGGCUGUAGUAUAAUUCCCUAUUGAUGCUGGUUUGAGGUCAUUCAGAAGGUUUUUAAUGACCAACAGUGUUGCCUCAGGUUGUAGCAGAAUGUUUACAAUGCACUCUUGAUAACUUGGCUACCAAGUGUCUAUGUAAGGAAAAAGGUGCUUUGUUUUAAUGUGAGAACGGUUUGUAUAUGUAUCCCUUUAUUUGUGUAUACAUUGCAUUGAACCGAUUGAAGUAUUGAUAGUAACUAUUUUUUGACAAUACAAUUUCAAAAGAAA